CUACGGGCCGCUGCAGUGAGGAAUAUUGCACAAUGGGGGGAACCCUGAUGCAGCAACGCCGCGUGGAGGAUGACGCAUUUCGGUGUGUAAACUCCUUUUAUAUGUCAAGAAAAUGACGGUAGCAUAUGAAUAAGCACCGGCUAACUCCGUGCCAGCAGCCGCGGUAAUACGGAGGGUGCAAGCGUUACUCGGAAUCACUGGGCGUAAAGGACGCGUAGGCGGGUUGGAAAGUCAGGUGUGAAAUCCUACAGCUUAACUGUAGAACUGCGCUUGAAACUUCUAAUCUAGAGUAUGGGAGGGGAGAUGGAAUUAGUGGUGUAGGGGUAAAAUCCGUAGAUAUCACUAGGAAUACCUAAAGCGAAGGCGAUCUCCUGGAACAUUACUGACGCUAAGGCGUGAAAGCGUGGGGAGCAAACAGGAUUAGAUACCCGCGUAGUC
rnacentral:rRNA from 1 species